GAGGUUUCUAUGGGGCUACAGAAGCACGGU
rnacentral:piRNA from 1 species